GUAUUAGUUAUGUUCUUGAAACCCAAAGAAUUUGGCGGUAUUUUAGUCUUUUCAGAGGAACCUGUUCUUUAAUCGAUAAUCCACGAUUUUAUUAACUUCUUCUUGUUUUCAGUUUUUAUACCUCCGUCAUAAGAAUAUUUUUUUAGAAUAAAUUUUCUUUUUUGUUAAAACAAAGAUGUCAGGUCAAGGUGAAGCUUAUGUAGGAGUAGAAAUGGGUUACAAUAAAUUUAUUUAUACGGAUUUAUUUAAUUUAUAUUAAUAAUGAAGGUGGAUUUGGAAGUAAAAUUAAUUAAAUAUUUUUUUUGAUUUUAGCUCUAAAAUAUGUACACAUCGCC
rnacentral:rRNA from 1 species